AACAAAAGAAAAAAAACCUUCCAAUCCCAUUUUAUCUCCAUUACUUUCUACACCAAAAUUGGGUCCCACAACCCGGUUCUUUGUCUAGAGGAUAGCGGUUGAGUACUAGUGGUGGUCUCGGUUAGAAUUGGUAAGAAGAUAUUAAACUUUUUGAAAGCUUCAAAGGUAAUAUUUCUUAAAAUCCUAAUUUGAUUAGUUUAUGGUUACAUGUUAAUUGUGGCAAUCAGGGUAGAAAUUCGAUUAUUUUUCCGCUGUGCAUGACUUAGUUCUAUCACUUUGGACUCCCCUGGAAGGAUCGACAUCCUUGACUUUGGUUUGAAGCUUGCAUGGAUAAACCUCUUCAUUUCUUUUUCAUUGAUUAAUUAUCCUUGUUCCUGAAAAUCAAAGGAAAUUCUCUCAAUUUCAUUUAUUACUAAAAUUAGGAUAAUUAUAGUAACUGUAUUUUUAACUCUUUUGGUAGUUUACGUCUUGAGUGUGUUUUCAAUGAUAUUUUUAUAUACAGUACAAAGUUUAGGGGUAUUCUGUAUAAUGGAACCUCUUUGACACAAAAAAAAUAAAUUCAAACCCAUGAAGUCUAACUAACCGAACACAAUUAGAUUUCUA
rnacentral:lncRNA from 1 species